AUGCCCGCACGGAUCCGGCGCCUCCGACCUUGGCAUCCACAAGGAGGAGCGGCGACAACUCUGGACCCGUCUGUUGGUGCUGCUGAUUCUGCUUGGACGGACAUGCUGCCUCUUCCAUGUCGACUACAUGCCAUGGACGACCACCGGGACCUCCAUGGCGAUGAUGAAGCCUUGCACAUGGUCGAGCUCGAUGGAACAACAGUGCCUCGGUGUGGUGCAGCCGAGUUGGGCCACACCAGUGCAUCAGGAACUCUGCAUGCUGAUGUCCUUUGUCUCAUCAUCUUAACUACUACAGUAGUAGGAGUAUUUUAUAUGUUGUUCAUUUCUUGGCCACCUAGCAUGUUUGCUAAUCAUCCAUCUGCCUCAUGUUAUAUGAUCCCUACCUAG
rnacentral:rRNA from 1 species